AGCAAUGCUUUCUAUUGCUCAGUGCACAAGUCUUUCACCUCCUUGGCCUCUCCACCAUCCUGAUAUUUUAUCACUACCGUCCUUUCCACUCUAGAUGGCAGUCACAGCCUGGAUGUGAGGCCAGUACCCCUGGCUGUCAGAGACUGCACCUCCCCCUUUCUUCCUCCUGGGGAAUCCAUCAUCAGACUUCUCAGAUUCAAGAUCCCCCAACUCUGCUCAAUCUAGGGCACGUCCCUUAAGAGAAAAGACAAAUCAUCUAGGAAGGUCUGCUGGAAGAAAAGGAAGGGAAUCCUUUCUAUUUCUGGGACAAUGCAAUGGGCUAGCGGGGAAAAGCAAUAUGAGGUGCCUCUCCCAGCUUGGUGCUGGGGUUAGUGAGCAAUCGGACUUCAAGAGGAAUCAGCCUGGGAAUGAGAAAGUUCCAGGCAGCAGGAAAAUGUGGAACCACACAAGAUCCAGGCAGGCAUCAUCCUGAUUUCAGCACCAGUUGCCUCGUCUCACAUGUGAGAAGAAGUCAGAGCUCAGAGGGGAUUUUCUGUGACCUUCACCCAAGGUCACAGAGCUGCUGGGGCUUUGCCAAGAGCCAGACCCCAGCCUGGUGAGCCUCCCCAACAGGGGCCACCCAGAGUUAUGAUCAUUAAGAUAAUUUUUAAUCUUCUUCUCUUUUUUUUUUUCAGAACAAACCACACCAACUUUCAAGGACUAAGCAAAAAAUAAACCAACAGAUUUUACUAUUAGAUUAUUAAUGCUAAUACCUUAUAUAUUUAAAAGAUUACUAUAAAUUUGUUGAUAAAAAUGUUCAUACAUUUUAUUUAAAAUUAUUAUUUUAGCCACCAUAGAAACCAUGUUCAAAUGAAUUACUCUGGGAGUCUAUAGAUGCCCAGAACAUUACUGCCUUUAGCAUCAGUUUACAUGAUCAGAGGAUGUUUUGUAAUUGCAAAGGUAAUACAUGAAUACAUUCUUACCAUAAAAGUUUUACUGCA
rnacentral:lncRNA from 10 species